rnacentral:tRNA from 1 species
GCGCGAGUGGCGGAAUUGGUAGACGCACUGGAUUUAGGUUCCAGCGCCGCAAGGUGUAAGAGUUCGAGUCUCUUAUCGCGCACCA